GGAGGCAUGAUCGAGUGGUCUAAGAUGUCAGAUUUAAGUCCUGAUGGGAGCAAUCCCGCGUGGGUUCGAACCCCACUGCCUCCA
rfam:Fomitiporia mediterranea MF3/22 unplaced genomic scaffold FOMMEscaffold_19, whole genome shotgun sequence.